UCUGGGAGUUGAAGUCCACAAGUCUUAAAGUUGCCAAGUUUGAAGACCCCUGAUCUACACAGAACCACUGGCUGAACCCAUCCAUUGGUUUGAUGUCCACACUCAUCAGUUUGCUGAUGGUACCAAACUGUACACCUUGACCCAACUCUUCCAACAGAUGCUGCUCAAUGUUCUUUUCCGAUGUCUUGAGUCUGGGUAGGUCUGAAUGCAAA